GCGUGGAGAAGGAACAAGUUAUCCCGGACCAGUUUUAAUUACGCAACCUGGCGAUCAGAUCCGACUCAAUUUCAACAACGACAUA
rnacentral:tRNA from 1 species